CAGCAGCCACGGUAAUACGUAGGGUGCGAGCGUUAAUCGGAAUUACUGGGCGUAAAGCGUGCGCAGGCGGUUUGUUAAGACGGAUGUGAAAUCCCCGGGCUCAACCUGGGAACUGCAUUCGUGACUGGCAAGCUAGAGUAUGGCAGAGGGGGGUAGAACUCCACGUGUAGCAGUGAAAUGCGUAGAGAUGUGGAGGAAUACCGAUGGCGAAGGCAGCCCCCUGGGCCAAUACUGACGCUCAUGCACGAAAGCGUGGGGAGCAAACAGGAUUAGAUACCCGAGUAGUCCCUGUCUCUUAUAC
rnacentral:rRNA from 1 species